UACUGAGGUGGCAAGCGUUGUUCGGAAUUACUGGGCGUAAAGGGCGCGUAGGCGGUUCGUUAAGUCCUGUGUGAAAUCCCCCGGCUCAACUGGGGAACUGCACAGGAAACUAGCGGGCUUGAGUUCGGGAGAGGGAAGCGGAAUUCCGGGUGUAGCGGUGAAAUGCGUAGAUAUCCGGAGGAACACCGGUGGCGAAGGCGGCUUCCUGGACCGACACUGACGCUGAGGCGCGAAAGCUAGGGGAGCAAACGGG
rnacentral:rRNA from 1 species